UUCAUCUGCUAGCUGUUCGUGUUAUUGAGAAGAUUGUUUGCUCUGCAAAGAAAUGCCCCUAUGAAGAAAUACCACAGGACCACUCAUGUUGAUGUUAAACACAUUUUGUGGAUACAGACAAGUGGAUCGGGAUGUAAGCUGUGGCUGGAUGUGGGAUGCACAGAGUGACAAAACCUCCAUCAAAGGAGCUCCUGCCAGUGUGGAUCCUGCUGAUCUGAGGAAAGCCCUUUAUUACCUGAAUGCAGUAAAGCUUGUUUACUAGCAUGGAAAGUUCAGCUGUGGAAGCACUAUGGCGUCACCCAGUAUAUCCAGACAAAAGGGGAGAAGCUUGGCCAGUGUGACAGCAAGAUGCAAUUUACUGCUGGAAUGUCUACAAGAGUUUGUUUCAAGUCAGCCUGCAGGAAUAACAGUGUACCUGGUUUUCUUGCGUAUCAUAUUUACAAGAAAGGCAAAGGAAUUUCAUUCUUCGUGUGCAAGUAACUUAAAAUAUGAUUAUCUGAACCCUGACUGGAUUCCUGAUCUUCCCCAACAUCCUCUUUAUUAUGCCAUAUUCAAGACCUGAAUUCAAAGUAGUACCAGAUCUUGACAGUCAACCGACAAUGGCAGGAAAAAAAGUUUUUUUCAUGAACCUGCCUAAGAUAUUCCAUAAUUUUCUGUAACAUCAGUUUCAGGGUAAUUGAAAUACCGUAUGAUCAAUGGUACAAUCUCAAAAUGCCUGUGUUAGCUGCAUAAGCAUUGGAAGAUUACUUUUUUUUUUUAUCAUGCCCUGAAGUUUGUAACCACUUCCAUUUUGUUUUUUCAACAAUUCCAUCUACAAGCUUAAUGCAGAUUCUCCAGUGAAGUUAUUAACUUGUAAUUUUUUAUUAACAUAUUAAAAUCUUCUUUCACUUAUACUGAAGCCUUCUGUUCUGUAAGGAGCCUGAGUUUUAGCUAACAUAUUUUGAAAUUGGAAUAUCCUAGGCAGUUUUGCAAUUUUGUAUUUGACUACAUAAUCCAUUUUCAAACAAUAAAGAUGUUGCCUCUGCAAUUAGUGUCAUAACAAGGCAGUCACCACCAUUGAAUCCCUAUGUAUAUCUAGAAUGCAUAACUUUAUUUUUUUCAGUACUAUGAAGUAUUAUUCUCCAAUACUGUGAACAUAUUACAUUCAUAUAUUUUGUUUUUGUGUGCUUCUACAGUCUUUGUUUGCAGCCUUGCAAUGCUCUUACUAUACUCAUUUGAGAAAAUAAAGCAGAACACUU
rnacentral:lncRNA from 7 species